UACAUUUUUCUUUUUCCUCUCUGUUUCUUCCUCCCCUUUCUCCUCUAGUCCUCUUUAAGAAAAAUGGAGAUAAACUGAUUUUGAUUUUGUGAACACAGAUUAAACCCAGUUACAAAAUCCUCCAUAACUUAUCAAAAUCAUUAAAGUCAUUAACUGAUUUUUGAUUUUGUAAACCUGGAAAUUGAUUUUCACUCUUAGCUUGAAACUCUUACAAAAAAGAUUUGAGUUUUUAGAAGUAAAAACCCUAGAAGAUCUCUAACCUCAGGAAUGGAAAAACCCCUUUUACAUAAAUCAAAAUUAUUUUUUAUUUGUAAACCCUAGAAAUUUGAUUUCUAAUCUUGUGUUUGAAUCUUGCAGAAGAAGAUCGAAAUGCAAAUUAUAGAAGAUUCAAGUACAAAUUCUUGAAGAUUCAGGUGAUUCAGUAAAUGCAGAUAAGAAGUCUGGGGUUUGUAGAAUCCUCAAGGUUCUACUGUGAAAAUAAUAUUCCCCUAUGUUUUGGUUUUAUUGAUAUGAUUUUACUUUCCCAUGUUCUUUACUGAGUUGUUUUGUUUUAGGACUUCAGGUUUCAUGUUCUUUUAGUUUGAUGUUUAUAAAUAACACACAGUUUAGCGUUUUCUACAGUUUAAAGUGGGUAUGCUUCAAAGCUUUUCAUGGAUCUGUUACGGGAUAAGGUUCAUACAAUCAAUUUUUCGGCCUGCAUUUUACUACUGAUUUGGAUUAUAGGUCUAAAUUGCUACUUGUUUGUGAAUUCAUUGACUAAAAUUGUAAACUUUUAGGCAGAGUAGAAUCCUAACCAAGCAAUCAAUUUUUUUUUGAUAUGUCCUCAUCCUUUUUGGUGUCUCUUCUGCGUUCUUUAUCACUUUGUCUAAUGUCAACCAAUAUUAUUAAACUUAACAAGAGUAGUCUUCAGUUAGCAUUUAGAAGUGAAGUAUAAUAGUUUGUAUUUUCUUAAAGGGCCACAUGCGUUAACAUAAUUAACAAAUUUCUUAUUAUAAUGUUAGUAGUAUUUUUUGGUUUGGAGCUUGUCGUAGCUUUUACAUGUCUAUUGUAUUUGCACUAUCCUGACUGAGUUAACAUCUUAAUAUAAUUUGGGCCUUAGCUUUCUCCGAUAACUUAAGUUCAGUUGGUAGUUACUUUUUUCUCACAAGCACUUAAAUUAUCUCUUGUGCACAUGCUUAGUACUGAUUUUCAUACGCUUCUCUGUUUCUAUUUUUAUGUAUGUGUAUAUUAGAAGUUGAAUGAAAGUCCACCCACGUUUUAUAUGCAUUCUAUAUGACUAAUUUAAAUCUUUUUUUCAUUUCUUGUUAUCCUUCAAAUGGAAAUCCAUGCCUCCUAGAUUCAUUUCUUACAUCUACUAGAAAGUGAGAAAUUAGUCUUCGAUGGACCGGUCUCUCAAUGUAAAGGGAAGGGCUUUUCCCCGUUUGCGUCAUACCAUUCACAGCUUCACAAGUUCAGUUGCAUCAUCACCAUUUGCAGCCACCAACACACCAUAAAGCUAGCUGCAGUUCUACUUCCCUAUGUGUUGGUGCUUGUGCCAACACGAGAAUCGUGUAUUUAGGUUAAGGAAAUCCCUCGAAAAUUACUGCAGUGAUUCCAUUGGAUGGUUCUAGGUCUUUUAAUGGGAGUGAAGAACAUAUCAUCCAGGCUUCACAAAGGUAGGAUUCUAGGUAUGUCAUCCUUUGGGUGGUAGAAAUGGAUCUGGAAUGGUUUUAUGAGGGUAUUUGCUUCAGGACUUUUAAGCUCACUACUCUUAGCUGGCAUUUGAAGAGUUGGACAACUUAGUUCCCCAAGGCAGGUUAUUACAUAGUAUACCAGCAAAACAACAAAACACUUCAAUGAAACAGGAGUAUUGUUGGUUCUGAUGAAAGGUGCAAAGGUCCCUUCAGAUGCUACAGAGGAACGUGCAAGAUACCUACAAAAAUUGUGGAAGAACAAGAGAGUAUUGGGAAAGACUUCAUGCCAGUUACAGCUUACAAAGGGUCCUCGUCAACUGAUGCUCUUGCCGUACCUCCACAUUCCGAGUUUGUAACAGAGUUAUCCUCAUCAUCUCUUCUGUCUAAUUUGCAACAAUUAGUGUGUUCAACAGUGAGACAAGGGAAUCUCCAAAGGAAAGCAUGGACACCGAAUCUGUUAACUUGCUUGCUUCCUUUAUUUGAGAUGUUACUGAAUGAUGUGCAUGUUUUAGAUGUGCAGGUAUUGCUUUGUAUGUUGCGUUUCUUUUGUUUUAGAUGUGCAUGCAUAAAAGAUGGAAUAAUUAUAUAAUCAAUAAAUGAGAAUAUGUAUAGAGUUGCAGUCAGAA